rnacentral:rRNA from 1 species
GGGCCCGCACAAGCAGUGGAGUAUGUGGUUUAAUUCGAAGCAACGCGAAGAACCUUACCAGGUCUUGACAUCCAACGAAUCCUGUGGAGACACGGGAGUGCCCUUCGGGGAACGUUGAGACAGGUGGUGCAUGGUUGUCGUCAGCUCGUGUCGUGAGAUGUUGGGUUAAGUCCCGCAACGAGCGCAACCCUUGUCAAUAGUUGCUACGCAAGAGCACUCUAUUGAGACCGCCGUUGACAAAACGGAGGAAGGUGGGGAUGACGUCAAAUCAUCAUGCCCCUUAUGACCUGGGCUACACACGUACUACAAUGGCCAAGAACAACGGGAAGCCAAACCGCGAGGUUGAGCGAAUCCCGAAAAAUGGUCUCAGUUCAGAUUACAGGCUGCAACCCGCCUGUAUGAAGAUGGAAUUGCUAGUAAUCGCGGAUCAGCAUGCCGCGGUGAAUACGUUCCCGGGCCUU